UACGAAGGGUGCAAGCGUUACUCGGAAUUACUGGGCGUAAAGCGGGCGUAGGUGGUUCGUUAAGUCUGAUGUGAAAGCCCUGGGCUCAACCUGGGAAUGGCAUUGGAAACUGGCGACCUAGAGUGCGGUAGAGGGUAGUGGAAUUCCCGGUGUAGCAGUGAAAUGCGUAGAGAUCGGGAGGAACAUCUGUGGCGAAGGCGGCCUUCUGGACCAAUACUGACGCUCAUGCACGAAAGCGUGGGGAGCAAACAGG
rnacentral:rRNA from 1 species